rnacentral:rRNA from 1 species
AACGAACGCUGGCGGCAUGCCUAACACAUGCAAGUCGAACGAUCCCUUCGGGGAUAGUGGCGCACGGGUGCGUAACGCGUGGGAACCUGCCCUUAGGUUCGGAAUAACUCAGAGAAAUUUGAGCUAAUACCGGAUAAUGUCUUCGGACCAAAGAUUUAUCGCCUUUGGAUGGGCCCGCGUUGGAUUAGCUAGUUGGUGGGGUAAAGGCCUACCAAGGCGACGAUCCAUAGCUGGUCUGAGAGGAUGAUCAGCCACACUGGGACUGAGACACGGCCCAGACUCCUAGGGGAGGCAGCAGUGGGGAAUAUUGGACAAUGGGCGAAAGCCUGAUCCAGCAAUGCCGCGUGAGUGAUGAAGGCCUUAGGGUUGUAAAGCUCUUUUACCCGGGAUGAUAAUGACAGUACCGGGAGAAUAAGCCCCGGCUAACUCCGUG